GUAGCGGAAUUCCUGGUGUAGCAGUGAAAUGCGUAGAGAUCAGGAGGAACAUCCAUGGCGAAGGCAGCUACCUGGACCAACACUGACACUGAGGCACGAAAGCGUGGGGAGCAAACAGGAUUAGAUACCCUGGUAGUCCACGCCCUAAACGAUGCGAACUGG
rnacentral:rRNA from 1 species